rnacentral:rRNA from 1 species
UACGUAGGGGGCAAGCGUUGUCCGGAAUCAUUGGGCGUAAAGCGCGUGUAGGCGGCCCGGUAAGUCCGCUGUGAAAGUCCAGGGCUCAACCCUGGGAUGCCGGUGGAUACUGUCGGGCUCGAGUCCGGAAGAGGAGUGUGGAAUUCCUGGUGUAGCGGUGAAAUGCGCAGAUACCAGGAGGAACACCAAUGGCGAAGGCAGCACUCUGGGACGUGACUGACGCUGAGACGCGAAAGCGUGGGGAGCAAACAGG